UACAGAGGUCUCAAGCGUUGUUCGGAUUCAUUGGGCGUAAAGGGUGCGUAGGCGGCGCGGUAAGUCGGGUGUGAAAUCUUGGAGCUUAACUCCGAAACUGCAUUCGAUACUGCCGUGCUUGAGGACUGGAGAGGAGACUGGAAUUUACGGUGUAGCGGUGAAAUGCGUAGAUAUCGUAAGGAAGACCAGUGGCGAAGGCGGGUCUCUGGACUGGUAUUGACGCUGAGGUGCGAAAGCGUGGGGAGCAAACAGG
rnacentral:rRNA from 1 species